UACGUAGGGUGCAAGCGUUGUCCGGAAUUAUUGGGCGUAAAGAGCUCGUAGGCGGUUUGUCGCGUCGAAUGUGAAAACCCGGGGCUCAACCCCGGGCCUGCAUUCGAUACGGGCAGACUAGAGUUCGGUAGGGGAGUCUGGAAUUCCUGGUGUAGCGGUGAAAUGCGCAGAUAUCAGGAGGAACACCGGUGGCGAAGGCGGGUCUCUGGGCCGAUACUGACGCUGAGGAGCGAAAGCCAGGGGAGCAAACGGG
rnacentral:rRNA from 1 species